rnacentral:rRNA from 1 species
AUUGAAAGCUGGCGGCAUGCUUUACACAUGCAAGUCGAACGGUAACAGGUUAAGCUGACGAGUGGCGAACGGGUGAGUAAUGCAUCGGAACGUGCCCGAUCGUGGGGGAUAACGCAGCGAAAGCUGCGCUAAUACCGCAUACGAUCUGAGGAUGAAAGCGGGGGACCGUAAGGCCUCGCGCGAUCGGAGCGGCCGAUGUCAGAUUAGGUAGUUGGUGGGGUAAAGGCCCACCAAGCCGACGAUCUGUAGCUGGUCUGAGAGGACGACCAGCCACACUGGGACUGAGACACGGCCCAGACUCCUACGGGAGGCAGCAGUGGGGAAUUUUGGACAAUGGGCGAAAGCCUGAUCCAGCAACGCCGCGUGCAGGAAGAAGGCCUUCGGGUUGUAAACUGCUUUUGUACGGAGCGAAAAGGUCCUUUCUAAUACAAAGGGCUUAUGACGGUACCGUAAGAAUAAGCACCGGCUAACUACGUGCCAGCCGCCGCAGUAACAC